GCCUUGACACUUCGGGAUAAGCUUGGGAAACUGGGUCUAAUACCGGAUAGGACAGCUGUUUAGUGUCAGUUGUGGAAAGUUUUUUCGGUGCAAGAUGAGCUCGCGGCCUAUCAGCUUGUUGGUGGGGUAAUGGCCUACCAAGGCGUCGACGGGUACCGGCCUGAAGGGUGUACGGCCACAUUGGGACUGAGAUACGGGCCCAGACUCCUACGGGAGGCAGCAGUGGGGAAUAUUGCACAAUGGGCGGAAGCCUGAUGCAGCGACGCCGCGUGGGGGAUGAAGGCCUUCGGGUUGUAAACUCCUUUCGACAGGGACGAAGCGUAAGUGACGGUACCUGUAUAAGAAGCACCGGCUAAACUACGUGCCAGCAGCCGCGGUAAUACGUAGGGUGCGAGCGUUGUCCGGAAUUACUGGGCGUAAAGAGCUCGUAGGUGGUUUGUCGCGUCGUCUGUGAAAUUCCGGGGCUUAACUCCGGGCGUGCAGGCGAUACGGGCUGGCUUGAGUGCUGUAGGGGAGACUGGAAUUCCUGGUGUAGCGGUGAAAUGCGCAGAUAUCAGGAGGAACACCGAUGGCGAAGGCAGGUCUCUGGGCAGUAACUGACGCUGAGGAGCGAAAGCAUGGGUAGCGAACAGGAUUAGAUGCCCUGGUAGUCCAUGCCGUAAACGGUCGGGCGCUAGGUGUAGGGGGCUUCCACGUCUUCUGUGCC
rnacentral:rRNA from 1 species